rnacentral:rRNA from 1 species
CGGCGGACGGGUGAGUAACACGUGGAUAACCUACCUAUAAGACUGGGAUAACUUCGGGAAACCGGAGCUAAUACCGGAUAAUAUAUUGAACCGCAUGGUUCAAUAGUGAAAGACGGUUUUGCUGUCACUUAUAGAUGGAUCCGCGCCGCAUUAGCUAGUUGGUAAGGUAACGGCUUACCAAGGCAAGAUGCGUAGCCGACCUGAGAGGGUGAUCGGCCACACUGGAACUGAGACACGGUCCAG